CUGCAACCAAGCAGGAAAGUGCAAUGAGUCCGAGCCGGCGGCGAGGGAACAACGUGCACGUCAGAACUGAACAGGACAGCGAAGCCCCUUUCGUCACCUGUUGUCAAUCACCGGCGGGGAGAAUAAAGCUGAAGGAGCGGACUACGAGCGGGGGCCGUGCCCUGCGAGUGGGGGCGGCAGCGACCACGACGAGCCGGGUGCUGUUGGGUGCAGCCGGGGACGAGAGCCGAUUAACAAAGACUUAGUUGCAGCCACCUCUUUGAUUUCAGUAAUGGUGAAGUGAAUAUCCAGGUUGGAGGAGAUGCCCCUGGCAUAUCAAUGGCCUGUGGGACCACAUCUACACAGCCACUGCUGAUGGUUGCUGAGGUUCAACAAACUGCACUCCUGUAAACCUUGACCCCAACAUUGCAAACACACAGUGCAGUACUUUCCAACAUGCACAUGCUAAUUGCUGUGAUCUUUAAAUCCAUAGUCCAAAGUUACAUUUCGAGAGUCAAUUGUUCUUUGUCAGUAUGGCCAAGGUUUAUCUUUACUGCUGCACUAACUGAGGGCGGAAGGACAGGCUUUGAUCUCCCUCGUUGGGUGAGUGCCACUGUGGGGAGGCUGCUGGCACAGCUGAGAGAGACUAGCGGAGGACGACCACGGGGGAAUAUGGAGGAGGACUGGCAAAAUG